AUAAGCGACUCAGGGCACGAGAUGGAUGCCUUGGGACAUGCCGGCGAUGAAGGACGUAGAAGGCCACGAAAGAUUACGGGGAGCUGCCAAACGAGCGUUGAUCCGUGAGUGUCCGAAUGGGGAAACCCCAUGGAAGUAAUGUUCCAUGAUCAUGAUCUGAGUGAAGUAGGGUCAUGAGGCAGACGGAGUGAAUUGAAACAUCUCAGUAACUCCAGGAAAAGAAAUCAAGCAAGAGAUACCCUUAGUAGCGGCGAGCGAAACGGGUAUAGCCUAAACCUUUAGACGCAAGUUUAAAGGGGUUGCGGGACUUCAACGUGAGACUUUUAUCAGUAACAGAACGCUCUGGGAAGGGCGGCCAAAGAGGGUGAUAGCCCCGUAAGUGAAAUUGAUAAAAGCUCUAGAAGUUUCCCAAGUACCACGGGGCUCGAGUACCCCUGUGGGAAUCUGGGUGGACCAUCAUCCAAGGCUAAAUACGAGCAUGUCACCGAUAGCGUAUAGUACCGUGAGGGAAAGGUGAAAAGAACCCCGUUGAGGGGAGUGAAAUAGAAUCUGAAAUCCCGUGCCUACAAGCGGUGGGAGGGCUAUGCCCCGUAAGGGGAAUGCCUGACCGCGUACCUUUUGCAUAAUGAGCCAGCGAGUUAGUGUCGGUAGCAAGGUUAACCCGUCAAUAGGGGGAGCCGUAGCGAAAGCGAGUCUGAAUAGGGCGAAUGAGUUGUCGGCACUAGACCCGAAACGCGAUGAGCUAGAUAUGACCAGGUUGAAGCGUCCGUAACAGGGCGUGGAGGACCGAACCGGUGCCCGUUGAAAAGGUCUCGGAUGAGUUGUAUUUAGGGGU
rnacentral:rRNA from 1 species